rnacentral:rRNA from 1 species
UUCCGGUUGAUCCUGCCGGACCCUACUGCUAUCGGGGUGGGACUAAGGCAUGCGAGUCGUGCGUCUCUAGGCUAUGGUAGAGACGCGGCGUACGGCUCAGUAACACGUGGCUAACCUACCCUUUGGACGGGGACAACCCCGGGAAACUGGGCCUAAUCCCCGAUAGAUGAGAAGUCCUGGAAUGGUUCCUCAUCUAAAAGGUGUUUAGAGCAUGCUUCUAGGCGUCGCCAAAGGAUGGGGCCGCGGCCGAUCAGGUUGUUGGUGAGGUAACGGCUCACCAAGCCUAUAACCGGUACGGGCCGUGAGAGCGGGAGCCCGGAGAUGGGCACUGAGAUAAGGGCCCAGGCCCUACGGGGCGCAGCAGUUGCGAAAACUCCGCAAUGCGCGAAAGCGUGACGGGGCUACCCCGAGUGCCGUCCGCUGAGGACGGCUUUUCCACGGUGUAAGGAGCCGUGGGAAUAAGGAGAGGGCAAGACUGGUGUCAGCCGCCGCGGUAAUACCAGCUCCCCGAGUGGUAGGGACAAUUAUUGGGCUUAAAGCGUCCGUAGCCGGGUCUGACAAGUCUUUCGUUAAAUCCAGCGACCUAAUCGUUGGGCUGCGGGAGAUACUUUCAGGCUAGGGGACGGGAGAGGCCGACGGUAUUCUUGGGGUAGGGGUGAAAUCCUAUAAUCCCAGGAGGACCACCAGUGGCGAAGGCGAUCGGCUAGAACGCGCUCGACGGUGAUGGACGAAAGCUGGGGGAGCGAACCGGAUUAGAUACCCGGGUAGUCCCAGCUGUAAACGAUGCGGGCUAGGUGUUGGGGUGGUUACGAACCGCUUCAGUGCCGUAGGGAAACCGUUAAGCUCGCCGUCUGGGAAGUACGGUCGCAAGGCUGAAACUUAAAGGAAUUGGCGGGGGAGCACCACAAGGCGUGAAGCUUGCGGUUCA